AUUGAACGCUGGCGGCAGGCCUAACACAUGCAAGUCGAACGAGUGGCGGACGGGUGAGUAAUGUCUGGGAAACUGCCUGAUGGAGGGGGAUAACUACUGGAAACGGUAGCUAAUCCCGCAUACCAUCAGAUGUGCCCAGAUGGCAUUAGCUUGUUGGUGGGGUAACGGCUCACCAAGGCGACGAUCCCUAGCUGGUCUGAGAGGAUGACCAGCCACAAUGGACAUGACACAAGGCCCGGACUCCUACGGGAGGAAGCAGAGGGGAAGAUUGCACAAUGGGCGAAAGCCUGAUGCAGCCAUGCCGCGUGUAUGAAGAAGGCCGUCGGGUGGUAAAGUACUGUCAGAGGGGAGGCGUUACCCGCAGAAGAAGCACCGGCUAACUCCGUGCCAGCAGCCGCGGUAAUAC
rnacentral:rRNA from 1 species